UGAACGCUGGCGGCGUGCUUAACACAUGCAAGUCGAACGAACCUUCGGGUUAGUGGCGGACGGGUGAGUAACGCGUGAGAAUCUGCCCUCAGGAGGGGGAUAACAGCUGGAAACGGCUGCUAAUACCCCAUAUGCCGCGAGGUGAAAUGAAUUUCGCCUGAGGAUGAGCUCGCGUCUGAUUAGCUAGUUGGUGUAGGUAAUGGCUCACCAAGGCAUCGAUCAGUAGCUGGUCUGAGAGGAUGAUCAGCCACACUGGGACUGAGACACGGCCCAGACUCCUACGGGAGGCAGCAGUGGGGAAUUUUCCGCAAUGGGCGAAAGCCUGACGGAGCAACGCCGCGUGAGGGAUGAAGGCCUCUGGGCUGUAAACCUCUUUUAUCAAGGAAGAAGAUCUGACGGUACUUGAUGAAUAAGCCACGGCUAAUUC
rnacentral:rRNA from 1 species